UCUCUCUGUAGGGUUUUGUUUUUCAUCGAUUGCACGAAAAAUUCCCCAAUUGGUCGUAUCUAUUCGAUCGAAAUGGAAAAUGGAGGCGGAGAUUUGGAGGCGAAAAUUGAGAUGUUGCUGAAUGUGGAGAAGCAGAUGAGGCAAGUGGGUGAUGUUGCAGGUACGAGGAAGGCCGUCACACCUCUUGCAAUUCUUCUUCUCACACCUCAAACAAUACCCCUCAUUUUCUCCCUCCAAGAAAGCCAAAGCCGGCGAAGGAGAGACGCCGCAGUUCCGUCCUCCCAUCGCCAAAAUACCCUCACCCAACCCCACCAUCAAACCAUUUCCCUUCUCCACUGUUCACUUCUUCGAGGAGAAAAGUUAAAGAAAGCAGGUGAAGUUCAUGGUGGUAUGGCCGACUCAAAGGUUCGAAUGUGAUGGUACGGCAGCACCCGCGCGAGAAGCAGCUGCGGAUGUGGGUACAAAUCCAAGAAAGGAAAACCCCGCUGAAUAGAGUAAAGAAAACCAAGAAAAGCAGGGGGGAGAGACAGAGCGAGGAGGAGGCCUCAAAUUAUGGUUUGGGAUUACACUGGCUUUGGAUAUACAAGGUACAAUGCCAGAGACAUUAACAAAGAAAUACUAGGGUGUCAUUGCUAAGAGGAUAUAAAUCAGACAGGAGACCUGCAAACUCGACAAUGAUGGCAAUUCUGGAUGGCUUUCAGAAGGCAUAUUCCGUUGAUUUCAGACCACUCAA